CCUUCCGCUAUAUUAAGGGCGGAGACAGCGCGGCUUCCGCUGGGAGCUCGGAACAGAUCCCGGGAUCCGGGAUCCGGGACCCGGGAUCCGGGAUCCGGCACCCGGCACCCGGCACACGGCGCUGGUGCCCCCUCUGCAAGCCCCAACUCGUAGACUGUUCCUCGUCGCCCGCGCCCCAAUUUCGAUUUUCAAACCCAACUCCCACAGGAUUCUGAGACCACGCCCCAUCUCCCACGUCCCAUUUUCAGCGGCAAAUUACUGUAGAAUCUGAACUCUAGAAAGAAACCCGUUUGCCGCCCCCCAUCUUCCCUCUCCACACAGGUGGAGGGCAGGUGAAGGUCUCGCUCGGCUUUCCCCUGCACCUUUCCCACCCUCCCGUCCGUCCCUGGGGGUCCUCUGCCACACCGGCCAUGGCCCAGAAGCCGAAGGUGGACCCUCACGUCGGGCGGCUGGGAUUCCUGCAGGCGCUGGUCACGGAAUUCCAGGAGACCCAGAGCCAAGACGCCAAGGAGCAAGUCCUCGCCAACCUCGCCAACUUCGCUUAUGACCCCAACAACUACGAGUAUCUGCGGCAGCUGCAGGUCCUGGAUUUAUUUCUCGAUUCGCUGUCGGAGGAGAAUGAGACCCUCGUGGAGUUUGCUAUUGGAGGCCUGUGCAACCUGUGCCCAGACAGGGCCAACAAGGAACACAUCCUGCAGGCAGGAGGCAUCCCUCUCAUCAUCAACUGCCUGUCCAGCCCCAACGAGGAGACGGUACUGUCUGCCAUCACCACGCUCAUACACCUGAGCACACUGGGCCCCAGCCGCCCCCCAGAGCUGACUGCCGCACCCGUGGUGCAGUGCAUGCUGCGCUUCUCCCUCUCAGCCAGUGCCAGGCUCCGGAACCUGGCGCAGAUCUUCCUGGAGGACUAUUGCUCCCCUAGCCAGGUGGCCGAGGCCCACAGCCGGCAAGCGCACUCUGCCCUGGGUAUCCCACUGCCUAGGAGCGUGUCCCCACAGCAGCGCUGAUCCAUGGAGACCUUGAGACUAUAGCACUCCUACUGCUGGAGACCACGGGCCUGGUGUGGACACAGGGCACAGGGGGAGGACAUGCUGCCCAAGUGGUGCCUUUUCGGCCAUUGGAAAGGCGAGUUCUUUCAGCAGGACAGGUAUUUACACUGUGAUGAAAUGCCAUUCAGUUAAGGAAGCCAGACUCAGAGACACAUGAAGAAACUGGAGCUGCUUCCAUAGGCCUGCACUCAACCCUAUGUCCAGUGCCACCACUGCCAGGCGGUAGUGUAAGCAGCAGCUACGUGGUGCAGUGGCUCACGCCAGUAAUCUCAGCACUUUGGGAGGCCGAGGCAGGCGGAUCAUGAGGUCAAGAGAUUGAGACCAUCCUGGCCAACAUGGUGAAACCCUGUCUCUACUAAAAUAAAAGAAUUAACCAGGCAUGGUGGCACACGCCUACAGUCCCAACUACUCGGGAGGCUGAGGCAGGAGAAAUGCUUGAACCCGGUAGGCAGAGGUUGCAGUGAGCUGAGAUUGCGCCACUGCACUCCAGCCUGGCGCCUGGUGAUAGAACAAGACUGUAUCUCAAAAAAAAAAAAGCAGCCACAUGCCCAGACCCAGAGGCUUUGCAGGACAGUGUUCUCAGCAACUGGGACUGACGCUUAAGAGAGCUACCUUCAUAACAGAAAAUAGGGGAUUAACCUUAACAGAAGUGUCCGGAGUAGUUCUCAGGGACAGGAAUGAGAUGCCUCACGGUGAAAGGAUCUCACCCUGGGAAGGUGUGGUGCCUCCCUUGAGGGCUGUGGAGGACGGAUACCUCCCCCAGGGGCUCUCCAGGCCGGGCAUUUGGGUGUGGGGAUGCCAACCUGGAUAACCUGUGGCCCAGCAUGAAUCAUCUGCCCAGUCCUGCUUUCUGCCAGGCACCACAUAAGGGACUCCAAGAUGAUGGGGGUCCCUGCCCUUGAGUGACAUGGCCCAGUGACUUCAUGUGGCCAUCAGGCAUCAAGAAAAGGCCAUGGGAGUGAUGACACAUCGGAAUGGAGGCAUAACCCUGGGGAGCUGCAUCUUUCCCCCUCACCCUCCUCCUACGCUGUCAUACUCAGUGAUGGGGAGCCCCUACCCCAGAAGUACAUCUCGUGAGGGCAUCAGGGACGCAGUGAAAGAGUGGUGCUCAAGGGAGACAGGAAGAGACAGCAACAUAAAGGAUGUGGCUCCAUGUGCGCGAUGUGCCCUGGUCAACAGAAGGCUGGAAUGCAGUAGCACAAUCUCGGCUCACCGAAAGCUAUGCCUUCCAGGUUCAAGUGAUUUCUCCUGCCUCAGCCUCCCAAGUAGCUGGGAUUACAGCACAUCAAUAAGAUAACUGAACAAAGACACCUCUAUCUGAAUAGAAGAAAAUGACUCAUUGUAAGCAUCAAAGAAUCAGGACCUGAAGAAAAGGAGCAGACCAUCAACCUGCCUGCAGUUAGGGAAAGACUUUUCUACCUGAAAUUCCUGGACUUUCUCCCUCUUAAAGAUUUCUCAGGACGGAAACUCCAAAGUCAUUCCUGUGGAGGUAAAAGCAAUCUCCCUUAUAUCCAAAGGGAGUCCAUCUUAUUUAAACUGAAUUGGGGUUGACGUUUAAUCCUCCAGAUGUAUCUUAUUACCGUACUCCAGCCAGGCAUGGUGGCUCACACCAAUAAUCCCAGGAUUUUGGAAGGCCAAGGCAGGAAGAUCAACAGGAACCUAGGACCAGCCUGGGAAACCUGGCAAAACCCUGUCUCUACAAAAACUACAAAAAUUGGCUGGCGCAGUCAUGUCCAUAAUCCCAGCACUUGGAAAGGCCAAGGUGAGGAUCACCUGCGGUCAGGAGUUUGAGACCAGCCUGGCCAACAUGGCGAAACACCAUCUCUACUAAAAAUAGAAAAAUUAGCCAGGCGUGGUAGCACACACCUGUAGUCCCAAUCACUCGAGAAGCUGAAGAAGAAUCACUGAAACCCAGGAGGUGGAAGUUGCAGUGACCUAAGAUCGUGCCACUGUACUUCAGAAUGGGGGACAGAGAUCUGGCUCAAUUAAAAAAAAAAAAAAAAGGCUGGGUUCGGUGGCUCACACCUGUAAUCCUAGCACUUUGGGAGACCAAGGCAAGUGGAUCACAAGGUCAGGAGAUCAAGAUUAUCCUGGCUAACAUGGUGAAACCCCAUCUCUACUAAAAUAAAAAAAGUUAGCCAGGCGUGAUGGCACGCGCCUAUAGUCCCAGAUACUCAGGAAGCUGAGGCAGGGGAAUCGCUUGAACCUGAGAGGCAGAGGUUACAGUGAGCUGAGAUCUUGCCACUGCACUCCAGCCUGGUGACAGAGCAAGACUCCAUCUCAAAAAAAAAAGUUUCUUUUCUUGAAUGAAUUGUUUAAAACAACAACAGGUGACCACUGGGAGAGAAAAGAAAGGAAGGAUGUAGGAGUUUAUGACCAGCCUGGCCAACAUGGCAAAAAGUCUGUGUCUACUAAAAAUACAAAAAGAUUUAACAAUCAGCUGAGAGAGGCCAGGUGCAGUGGCUCACUCCAGUAAUCCCAGCACUUAGGGAGGCCGAGGUGGGCAGAUUAUCUAAGGUCAGGAGUUCGAGACCAGCCUGGUUAACAUAGUGAAACCCUAUCUCUACUAGAAAUACAAAAAGUAACCAGGUGUGGUGGCACAUGCCUGUAGACCCAGCUACUCAGAGGCUGAGGAGAAUUGCUUGAACCCAGGAGGUGGAGAUCACACCACUGCACUCCAGCCUGGGCAACAGAGCAAGACUCUGUCUCAAAAAAAAAAAAAAAGUAAAUAAUAAAUUUUAAAAAUGAGGCUGGGCACAGUGGUUCACGAGAUCAAGAGAUUGAGACCAUCCUGGCAAGGUCUAAUCUAAGAGACUAGACCAACAUGGUGAAACCCUAUCUCUAAUAAAAAUACAGGGCCGGGCACGGUGGCUCACACCUAUAAUCCCAGCACUUUGGGAGGCCGAGGCAGGUGGAUCACGAGGUCAAAGAGAUCGAGACCAUCCUGGUCAACAAAGUGAAACCCUGCCUCUACUAGAAAUACAAAAAUUAGCUGGGCAUGGUGGUGCGUGCCUGUAGUUCCAGCUACUCGGGAGGCUGAGGCAGGAGAAUUGCCUGAACCCAGGAGGCGGAGGUUGCAGUGAGCCGAGAUCACACCAUUGCACUCCUGCCUGGGUAACGAGCGAAACUCCGUCUAUUUAAAAAAAAAAAAAAAAAAAGCUCUCAUUAAGUGUAACAAAUACUGACCUGAUUAAAUGUGGGUGUAUGUGUUUGAGUAUAGAUAUAUUUGGGUUUAUUUUUUUGAGGCAAGGUCUCACUCUGUCACCCAGACUGGAGUAUAAUGGUGUGAUCUCUGCUCACUGCAACCUCCACAUCCUGGGCUCAAGCAAUCCUCCCACCUGAGCCUCCUGAGUAGUUGGACUACAGGCAUGUGCCACCAUGCCAGGCUAUUUUAUACUUUUUUAUAGAGAUGGGGUUUCACCAUGCUUCCUAGGCUAGUCUUGAACUCCUGGGCUCAAGCAAUCUGCCUGCCUCAGCCUCCCAAAGUGUUGAGAUUACAGGCGUGAGCCACCACGCCCAGUCUCUAUAUGUAAUUUUAAAGGAUUCUCCGAUUUUUCUCUAUUACAUUUCUAGCAUUGAUCGCAUUACUGGCAGAUUAAGAAUGUGGCCAUGUUUACUAACUGUCCAGUUUCAUUUUCGUUUCCUCUCCCAGGAAACGAAAGGGUAGCAGCACUUGGGGCACAGCCAGGUUUCACUCCCCAGUCUCUUUCCCCAAGACAUGAUUUUGUUUAUUUAUUUAGAGAUGGGGUCUUGCUUUGUCACCCAGGCUGGAGUGCUGUGGUGCCAUCUCAGCUCACUCCGCCCCUCAGGUUCAAGUCUCCUACCUCAGCCUCCAGAGCAGCUGGGAUUACAGGCACCUGUCACCACACCUGGCUAAUUUUUAUAUUUCUAAUAGAGACGGAGUUUCACCAUCUUGGCCAGGCUGGUCUUGAACUGCUGACCACGAGAUCCACCUGCUUUGGCCUCCCAAAGUGCUGGGAUUACAGGUGUGAGCCACUGCGCCCAGCCGACAUGAUUUAAAUCAAAAUUCAGAUCUGUCCUAAAACCACUGACAGAGCCAGAAAUUUGGUCUUCAGAAGUACUCACCAUGAAUAUCAGCUUCUCCCUAGAAAAGAAAAAAAUUCAAAAAUUUACUUCCUACUUUAAUUUUGGAACACAAAAAAAGUCAUAGUUCAUAGCAGCUAACAUUUAUUUGACACCAAAUGUGACAUUUCAUUUUGAUGCAAUUAAGCCCAGGGCCAGUCUGCUACCUCUGUCCAACUUAGAACAAGCAAAUAUUCUGCAUGAGAAAUUGCCCUGGUGCCAGGAACACAUCUAAAGCAAAAAACCUAAACAUUUACUCUGAUGACCCUAUACCAAUGAGCAUUUCAGAGAUCUUGCAUUAGAAUGGAAAACUGGUAAAUCUAUCCUUUCAUUUGUCUCUCUCCUUUCCCCUUAUCUAGUUGUGGAAGGACCCCUAUCGGUUCCAAAGCCCUUCUCCAGUUCUCUUCACACUCAGACAGGUGAUGCCUCAAUGUGCUCUAAGGGAUUUAGUGGGGAGGUCUUUCCAACACACACCAUAGGGCACUUGGUGGCAGUACUCAACUCCAGACACAACUAGUGGUCAUGCCAGCACUAGUCUCCUGGAGUUCCAGGCAAAGCCAUAUUAGCAAAAAACAGUCCCUAAACCCAGAAAUGUUUCUAUAUAUGUGACACACAGGAAGUAAGAAAGAUCCACAAGUUCCAAAAAUCAAUAUAGGAGAUAAAACAAAUCCUAAUGGUAAGAGAGACAGAAACAGACUGAGAUCAUGUUAAUGCACUUCUCUGCUUUUACUCUCUCAAUCUUCCAUUAUCAACACGGCCCAGUCCCUUUCCUAACUACCUCAAUGUAAAAUUCCAGUGGCAGAACUGAAAACUUAGUACAAAUUUCAGAAUCGUAUUGACCUCGAAGACUUUCUGUCCUCAUGCUGUCACACUGACCUUCAGAUCUAAGAAGUCUCCGGAGCUUGCUUCUGAGGAGUUCCUUCUCUGCAGUCCAGAUGACUCUAAGUCUUCCCUGCCACCACUAGACUUGGCACCUAAAAUUCAAAAUAUACUUUCUUCAGAAAUACAACAGAAAAAAUCUAAAACAAAACAGUUCAGCAAUUGACGUUAUGUGUCAAUCUCAUAUUACAAAAUGAGAAAAGUCUGUUUUUUUUUUUUUAAGAUGGGGUUUCACCGUGUUGGUCAGGCUGGUCUUGAACUCUGGACCUCAGGUGAUCCGCCCGCCUUGGCCUCCAAAGUGCUUGGAUUACAGGUGUAAGCCACCACAGCCGGCCAAGAAAACAGUCUUUUUUUUUUUUUUUUUGAGACGGAGUUUCGCUCUUGUUACCCAGGCUGGAGUGCAAUGGCGCAACCUCGGCUACUGCAACCUCCGCCUCCUGGGUUCAGGCAAUUCUCCUGCCUCAGCCUCCUGAGUAGCUAGGAUUACAGGCACGUGCCACCAUGCCCAGCUAAUUUUUUGUAUCUUUAGUAGAGACGGGGUUUCACCAUGUUGACCAGGAUGGUCUCAAUCUCUUGACCUUGUGAUCCACCCACCUCGACCUCCCAAAGUGCUGGGAUUACAGGUGUGAGACACCGCGCCCAGCCAAGAAAACAGUCUUAAGGAAGUUAAGCUAAUUACUUAAAUGUUAACCCAGUCUGACUUCAGUACCAACUCUGAUCCAUCACACAGCCUCCUAGUAUUUCCCAUCUCUUUCCUCGCAUGUUAAAUCUAAACUGAUGUUUUAUUAUUAUUAAGCUAGAUUUUGUUAUUAGUUCAAAUCCAGCUGUAGUUAAUUUCUCUUUUGUUUGUUUUUGACACAGGGUUUCACUCUGUCACCUAGGCUGGGGGGCAGUGGCUCAAUCACAACUCACUGUAACCUCUACCUCCCAGGCUCAAGUGAUCCUCCCACCUCAGCCUCCCAAGUAUUAGAAACUACAUCCACACUGCCCCUACCACCAGCUAAUUUUUGUUUUGUUUUAUAGAGAUGGGGGCACACUUUGAUUCCCAGGCUGCAUCUGUGGCUGUUGAUCCUGGGCCCAUACCUUUGAACAGUGAGCACAGAUAACAAGAAUACCUGCCGACUUGGCCCAAGAAGCCUGAUUUUCCUCAGGUGUCCCAAAGAUAUUAGAGGCCAUUUUGUUCUUCCUCACAGGUUGUUCUGUUGGUUCAUCAAAACCUAAUGAAAAAUUGGAUCCACCACCUGGAGGCCGCAAAACCCUACAAAUAAUGGCAAAACAUCAACUUCAGAUCAUACUGAAACAUUUCUUGGCAUAAAUCUUUUCAGACAACCUUCAUUUCACUCUCCUCACCCAUUCAUUUCCCUCACCCCUACAACAGACAGCUGCUAACAGAAAAAAGGAAUCAACUUCAUCAGCGUGUACAUUCAAUGCUGGAUGUGAAGAUACUAAAUACUGCCUUAUAAUGCUUGUAAUGCAGUAAUGGACAACACGAGGCAGCUGAAACAGGGUGGAACUCAUCACAAUUAACAGCCUGGUUGGUGUCACCUUUUCAGAAAUGGCAAAAGACCUACUGGACCUUACUCUACUGGAGCUGGUGGAAUAUAUUUGCAAAGAAGUUUUAGAAACAUUUCUUGUUAUUAUUCAUUUAAAAAUCACUUCCAGGCACUGGAACACACCUGUAAUCCCAGCACUCUAGGAGGCCAAGGCAGGAUCAUCACUUGAGCCUAGGAGUUCAAGACCAGCCUGGGCAAAAUGGCAAGACCCCGUCUCUAUAAAAAAUAAAAAUAAAAAUAAAAAUUAGCCGAGCGUGGUGGUGCAUGCCUGUGGUCCCAGCUACACCAGAGUCUGAGACAGAAGGAUCGCUUCGGCCCAGGAGGUCAAGACUGCAGUGAGCUGUGCUCACACCACUGAACUCCAGCCUGUGUGACAGAGCAAAACUGUAUCAAAAUGCAAAAAGUAAAUAAAAUUUUUAAAAUCA